rnacentral:rRNA from 1 species
UACGUAGGGUCCGAGCGUUGUCCGGAAUUAUUGGGCGUAAAGGGCUCGUAGGCGGUCUGUUGCGUCGGGAGUGAAAACUUACAGCUUAACUGUGAGCGUGCUUCCGAUACGGGCAGACUUGAGGUAUUCAGGGGAGAACAGAAUUCCUGGUGUAGCGGUGAAAUGCGCAGAUAUCAGGAGGAACACCGGUGGCGAAGGCGGUUCUCUGGGAAUAUCCUGACGCUGAGGAGCGAAAGUGUGGGGAGCGAACAGG